CCUACGGGAGGCAGCAGUGGGGAAUAUUGGGCAAUGGGCGCAAGCCUGACCCAGCAAUGCCGCGUGAAGGAAGAAGGCUUUCGGGUUGUAAACUUCUUUUUCUGGGGAAGAACAGAAGACGGUACCCUGAAAAUAAGCCAUGGCUUACUACGUGCCAUCAGCCGCCGCAAUACGGAGGUGGCAAGUGGUGUCCGGAUUUACUGGGUGGAAAGGGCGUGUAGGCGGGAAAGUAAGUCAGAUGUGAAAUCUGGAGGCUCAACCUCCAAAUUGCAUUUGAAACUGUUUUUCUUGAGUACUGGAGAGGCAGACGGAAUUCCUGGUGUAGCGGUGAAAUGCGUAGAUAUAAGGAGGAACACCAGUGGCGAAGGCGGUCUGCUGAACAGCAACUGACGGUGAGGCGCGAAAGCGUGGGGAGCAAACAGGAUUAGAUACCCUUGUAGUC
rnacentral:rRNA from 1 species